CUAGGAAUCUUGGGAAUGGGCGAAAGCCUGACCCAGCAACGCCGCGUGGGCGAUGAAGGCCUUCGGGUCGUAAAGCCCUUUUGCAGGGGAAGAUGAUGACGGUACCCUGCGAAUAAGCCACGGCUAACUACGUGCCAGCAGCCGCGGUAAUACGUAGGUGGCAAGCGUUGUCCGGAUUUACUGGGCGUAAAGGGCGUGCAGGCGGUCUGCUAAGUCUAGGGUGAAAGCUCCCGGCUCAACUGGGAGAGGUCCUUGGAUACUGGCGGACUUGAGGGAGGUAGAGGAGAGUGGAAUUCCCGGUGUAGUGGUGAUAUGCGUAGAUAUCGGGAGGAACACCAGUGGCGAAGGCGGCUCUCUGGGCCUUUCCUGACGCUGAGACGCGAAAGCGUGGGGAGCGAACCGGAUUAGAUACCCCCGUAGUCC
rnacentral:rRNA from 1 species